GCCCCUGUGGCGGAAUUGGUAGACGCAGCAGACUCAAAAUCUGCCAUCCGUCAGGAUGUGGGAGUUCGAGUCUCCCCGGGGGCACCA
rnacentral:tRNA from 1 species